GAGACAGUUCGGUCCCUAUCUGCCAUGGGCGUUGGAAGUUUGAGAGGGGCUGCUCCUAGUACGAGAGGACCGGAGUGGACGAACCUCUGGUGUUCCGGUUGUCACGCCAGUGGCAUUGCCGGGUAGCUAUGUUCGGAAGCGAUAACCGCUGAAAGCAUCUAAGCGGGAAGCGCGCCUCAAGAUGAGACUUCCCGGGGCACAAGCCCCCUAAAGGAACCAUGUAGACUACGUGGUUGAUAGGUCAGGUGUGUAAGCGCAGCAAUGCGUUGAGCUAACUGAUACUAAUGAUCCGUGCGGCUUGACCAUAUAACCUCA
rnacentral:rRNA from 1 species